rnacentral:rRNA from 1 species
AGAUUGAACUGAAGAGUUUGAUCCUGGCUCAGAUUGAACGCUGGCGGGAUGCUUUACACAUGCAAGUCGGACGGCAGCACGGGCUUCGGCCUGGUGGCGAGUGGCGAACGGGUGAGUAAUGUAUCGGAACGUGCCCAGUAGCGGGGGAUAACUACGCGAAAGCGUGGCUAAUACCGCAUACGCCCUACGGGGGAAAGCGGGGGACCUUCGGGCCUCGCACUAUUGGAGCGGCCGAUAUCGGAUUAGCUAGUUGGUGGGGUAACGGCCUACCAAGGCGACGAUCCGUAGCUGGUUUGAGAGGACGACCAGCCACACUGGGACUGAGACACGGCCCAGACUCCUACGGGAGGCAGCAGUGGGGAAUUUUGGACAAUGGGGGCAACCCUGAUCCAGCCAUCCCGCGUGUGCGAUGAAGGCCUUCGGGUUGUAAAGCACUUUUGGCAGGAAAGAAACGGCACGGGCUAAUAUCCUGUGCAACUGACGGUACCUGCAGAAUAAGCACCGGCUAACUACGUGCCAGCAGCCGCGGUAAUACGUAGGGUGCAAGCGUUAAUCGGAAUUACUGGGCGUAAAGCGUGCGCAGGCGGUUCGGAAAGAAAGAUGUGAAAUCCCAGGGCUUAACCUUGGAACUGCAUUUUUAACUACCGGGCUAGAGUGUGUCAGAGGGAGGUGGAAUUCCGCGUGUAGCAGUGAAAUGCGUAGAUAUGCGGAGGAACACCGAUGGCGAAGGCAGCCUCCUGGGAUAACACUGACGCUCAUGCACGAAAGUGUGGGGAGCAAACAGGAUUAGAUACCCUGGUAGUCCACGCCCUAAACGAUGUCAACUAGCUGUUGGGGCCUUCGGGCCUUGGUAGCGCAGCUAACGCGUGAAGUUGACCGCCUGGGGAGUACGGUCGCAAGAUUAAAACUCAAAGGAAUUGACGGGGACCCGCACAAGCGGUGGAUGAUGUGGAUUAAUUCGAUGCAACGCGAAAACCUUACCUACCCUUGACAUGUCUGGAAUCCCGAAGAGAUUUGGGAGUGCUCGCAAGAGAACCGGAACACAGGUGCUGCAUGGCUGUCGUCAGCUCGUGUCGUGAGAUGUUGGGUUAAGUCCCGCAACGAGCGCAACCCUUGUCAUUAGUUGCUACGAAAGGGCACUCUAAUGAGACUGCCGGUGACAAACCGGAGGAAGGUGGGGAUGACGUCAAGUCCUCAUGGCCCUUAUGGGUAGGGCUUCACACGUCAUACAAUGGUCGGGACAGAGGGUUGCCAACCCGCGAGGGGGAGCCAAUCCCAGAAACCCGGUCGUAGUCCGGAUCGCAGUCUGCAACUCGACUGCGUGAAGUCGGAAUCGCUAGUAAUCGCGGAUCAGCAUGUCGCGGUGAAUACGUUCCCGGGUCUUGUACACACCGCCCGUCACACCAUGGGAGUGGGUUUUACCAGAAGUAGUUAGCCUAACCGCAAGGGGGGCGAUUACCACGGUAGGAUUCAUGACUGGGGUGAAGUCGUAACAAGGUAGCCGUAUCGGAAGGUGCGGCUGGAUCACCUCCUUU